CAAUCAAACCGGGAGAUAGCUGGUUCUCCCCGAAAGCUAUUUAGGUAGCGCCUCGUGAAUUCAUCUCCGGGGGUAGAGCACUGUUUCGGCUAGGGGGCCAUCCCGGCUUACCAACCCGAUGCAAACUGCGAAUACCGGAGAAUGUUAUCACGGGAGACACACGGCGGGUGCUAACGUCCGUCGUGAAGAGGGAAACAACCCAGACCGCCAGCUAAGGUCCCAAAGUCAUGGUUAAGUGGGAAACGAUGUGGGAAGGCCCAGACAGCCAGGAUGUUGGCUUAGAAGCAGCCAUCAUUUAAAGAAAGCGUAAUAGCUCACUGGUCGAGUCGGCCUGCGCGGAAGAUGUAACGGGGCUAAACCAUGCACCGAAGCUGCGGCAGCGAACGUAUCACCCAAGACAACUUUACGGAGUUGACGAUUGACGGAGCGAAGCGACGUCAAAGCGUUCAUUAAAGUCGAGUUGGCUUAGGGAUACGUUCGUUGGGUAGGGGAGCGUUCUGUAAGCCUGUGAAGGUGUGUCGUGAGGCAUGCUGGAGGUAUCAGAAGUGCGAAUGCUGACAUAAGUAACGAUAAAGCGGGUGAAAAGCCCGCUCGCCGGAAGACCAAGGGUUCCUGUCCAACGUUAAUCGGGGCAGGGUGAGUCGACCCCUAAGGCGAGGCCGAAAGGCGUAGUCGAUGGGAAACGGGUUAAUAUUCCCGUACUUGGUGUUACUGCGAAGGGGGGACGGAGAAGGCUAUGUUGGCCGGGCGACGGUUGUCCAGGUUUAAGCGUGUAGGUGUGUGUUCCAGGUAAAUCCGGUUCACUUUAACACUGAGGCGUGACGACGAGGCACUACGGUGCUGAAGCAACAAAUGCCCUGCUUCCAGGAAAAGCCUCUAAGCAUCAGGUAACAUCAAAUCGUACCCCAAACCGACACAGGUGGUCAGGUAGAGAAUACCAAGGCGCUUGAGAGAACUCGGGUGAAGGAACUAGGCAAAAUGGUGCCGUAACUUCGGGAGAAGGCACGCUGACACGUAGGUGAAGUGAUUUACUCAUGGAGCUGAAGUCAGUCGAAGAUACCAGCUGGCUGCAACUGUUUAUUAAAAACACAGCACUGUGCAAACACGAAAGUGGACGUAUACGGUGUGACGCCUGCCCGGUGCCGGAAGGUUAAUUGAUGGGGUCAGCGCAAGCGAAGCUCCUGAUCGAAGCCCCGGUAAACGGCGGCCGUAACUAUAACGGUCCUAAGGUAGCGAAAUUCCUUGUCGGGUAAGUUCCGACCUGCACGAAUGGCGUAAUGAUGGCCAGGCUGUCUCCACCCGAGACUCAGUGAAAUUGAACUCGCUGUGAAGAUGCAGUGUACCCGCGGCAAGACGGAAAGACCCCGUGAACCUUUACUAUAGCUUGACACUGAACAUUGAGCCUUGAUGUGUAGGAUAGGUGGGAGGCUUUGAAGUGUGGACGCCAGUCUGCAUGGAGCCGACCUUGAAAUACCACCCUUUAAUGUUUGAUGUUCUAACGUGGACCCGUAAUCCGGGUUGCGGACAGUGUCUGGUGGGUAGUUUGACUGGGGCGGUCUCCUCCUAAAGAGUAACGGAGGAGCACGAAGGUUGGCUAAUCCUGGUCGGACAUCAGGAGGUUAGUGCAAUGGCAUAAGCCAGCUUGACUGCGAGCGUGACGGCGCGAGCAGGUGCGAAAG
rnacentral:rRNA from 1 species